UUUUUGGGAAGUGAUCCAACGAGAGAAGCCAUUUUCCGACUGGGAUUUGCAUGACAUCAGUGAACAUAUAAAAAGAGGUAUUCGACCGGAUAUUUAUAAUUUGAUCAAUGACGAUUAUAGUGGUAUAGUACCGAUAAUGGAAUGUUGUUGGCGCCAAUCCUCAACAGAUCGUCCAACGAUGAGUGAAGUGCGUCGCGAUUUAAAUUAUUCAAUUAAGCGCUAUGACCAUCAAUCAAAUUGCUGCAUAAGUUAGAACUAAAUUAAAAUAAAGCAAUAACAAAUUA